rnacentral:rRNA from 1 species
UACGGAGGGGGCUAGCGUUGUUCGGAAUUACUGGGCGUAAAGCGCACGUAGGCGGCUUUGUAAGUUAGAGGUGAAAGCCCGGGGCUCAACUCCGGAAUUGCCUUUAAGACUGCAUCGCUAGAAUCGUGGAGAGGUGAGUGGAAUUCCGAGUGUAGAGGUGAAAUUCGUAGAUAUUCGGAAGAAACACCAGUGGCGAAGGCGACUCACUGGACACGUAUUGACGCUGAGGUGCGAAAAGCGUGGGGAGCAAACAGG